CUACGGGAUGCUCCAGUGAGGAAUAUUGCGCAAUGGGGGAACCCUGAUGCAGCAACGCCGCGUGGAGGAUGACGCAUUUCGGUGUGUAAACUCCUUUUAUAUGUCAAGAAAAUGACGGUAGCAUAUGAAUAAACACCGGCUAACUCCGUGCCAGCAGCCGCGGUAAUACGGAGGGUGCAAGCGUUACUCGGAAUCACUGGGCGUAAAGGACGCGUAGGCGGGUUGGAAAGUCAGGUGUGAAAUCCUACAGCUUAACUGUAGAACUGCACUUGAAACUUCUAAUCUAGAGUAUGGGAGGGGGAGAUGGAAUUAGUGGUGUAGGGGUAAAAUCCGUAGAUAUCACUAGGAAUACCUAAAGCGAAGGCGAUCUCCUGGAACAUUACUGACGCUAAGGCGUGAAAGCGUGGGGAGCAAACAGGAUUAGAUACCCCAGUAGUC
rnacentral:rRNA from 1 species